UUGACCUCGGAUCAGGUAGGGAUACCCGCUGAACUUAAGCAUAUCAAUAAGCGGAGGAAAAGAAACCAACAGGGAUUGCCCUAGUAACGGCGAGUGAAGCGGCAACAGCUCAAAUUUGAAAGCUAGCCUUCGGGUUCGCAUUGUAAUUUGUAGAGGAUGAUUUGGGGAAGCCGCCUGUCUAAGUUCCUUGGAACAGGACGUCAUAGAGGGUGAGAAUCCCGUAUGUGACAGGAAAUGGCACCCUAUGUAAAUCUCCUUCGACGAGUCGAGUUGUUUGGGAAUGCAGCUCUAAAUGGGAGGUAAAUUUCUUCUAAAGCUAAAUAUUGGCGAGAGACCGAUAGCGCACAAGUAGAGUGAUCGAAAGAUGAAAAGCACUUUGGAAAGAGAGUUAAAAAGCACGUGAAAUUGUUGAAAGGGAAGCGCUUGCAAUCAGACUUGUUUAAACUGUUCGGCCGGUCUUCUGACCGGUUUACUCAGUUUGGACAGGCCAGCAUCAGUUUCGGCGGCCGGAUAAAGGCUCUGGGAAUGUGGCCUUCACUUCGGUGGAGGUGUUAUAGCCCAGGGUGUAAUACGGCCAGCCGGGACUGAGGUCCGCGCUUCGGCUAGGAUGCUGGCGUAAUGGUUGUAAGCGACCCGUCUUGAAACACGGACCAAGGAGUCUAACAUCUAUGCGAGUGUUCGGGUGUCAAACCCCUGCGCGUAAUGAAAGUGAACGGAGGUGGGAACCGCAAGGUGCACCAUCGACCGAUCCUGAUGUCUUCGGAUGGAUUUGAGUAAGAGCAUAGCUGUUGGGACCCGAAAGAUGGUGAACUAUGCCUGAAUAGGGUGAAGCCAGAGGAAACUCUGGUGGAGGCUCGCAGCGGUUCUGACGUGCAAAUCGAUCGUCAAAUUUGGGUAUAGGGGCGAAAGACUAAUCGAAC
rnacentral:rRNA from 1 species